GCUGGAAUAGCUCAGUAGGUUUAGAGCGUGUGGCUGUUAACCUCAAGGUCGGAGGUUCGACCCCUCCUUUCAGCG
rfam:Arabidopsis thaliana chromosome 2, complete sequence.